rnacentral:SRP_RNA from 1 species
GCUGGGCGUGGUGGUGGGCACCUGUAGUCCCAGCUACUCGGGAGGCUGAGGCAGGAGAAUCGGUUGAACCCGGGAGGCGGAGCUUGCAGUGAGCUGAGAUCCAGCCACUGCACUCCAGCCUGGGCGACAGAGCGAGACUCCGUCUCCAAAAAAAAAAAAAAAGAGAGAGAAAAAGAAAUGGAGUCUCGCUCUGUCGCCCAGGCUGGAGUGCAGUGGUGCGAUCUCGGCUCACUGCAAGCUCCGCCUCCCGGGUUCAACCGAUUCUCCUGUCUCAG